GACGAACGCUGGCGGCGUGCUUAACACAUGCAAGUCGAACGGAAAGGCCCUGCUUUUGUGGGGUGCUCGAGUGGCGAACGGGUGAGUAACACGUGAGUAACCUGUCCUUGACUUUGGGAUAACUUCAGGAAACUGGGGCUAAUACCGGAUAGGAGCUCCUGCUGCAUGGUGGGGGUUGGAAAGUUUCGGCGGUUGGGGAUGGACUCGCGGCUUAUCAGCUUGUUGGUGGGGUAGUGGCUUACCAAGGCUUUGACGGGUAGCCGGCCUGAGAGGGUGGCCGGCCACAUUGGGACUGAGAUACGGCCCAGACUCCUACGGGAGGCAGCAGUGGGGAAUAUUGCACAAUGGGCGGAAGCCUGAUGCAGCAACGCCGCGUGCGGGAUGACGGCCUUCGGGUUGUAAACCGCUUUCGCCUGUGACGAAGCGUGAGUGACGGUAAUGGGUAAAGAAGCACCGGCUAACUACGUG
rnacentral:rRNA from 1 species